rnacentral:rRNA from 1 species
GAUGAACGCUGGCGGCGUGCCUAAUACAUGCAAGUCGAGCGAACAGAUGAGGAGCUUGCUCCUCUGACGUUAGCGGCGGACGGGUGAGUAACACGUGGAUAACCUACCUAUAAGACUGGGAUAACUUCGGGAAACCGGAGCUACUACCGGAUAAUAUAUUGAACCGCAUGGUUCAAUAGUGAAAGACGGUUUUGCUGUCACUUUUAGAUGGAUCCGCGCCGCAUUAGCUAGUUGGUAAGGUAACGGCUUACCAAGGCAACGAUGCGUAGCCGACCUGAGAGGGUGAUCGGCCACACUGGAACUGAGACACGGUCCAGACUCCUACGGGAGGCAGCAGUAGGGAAUCUUCCGCAAUGGGCGAAAGCCUGACGGAGCAACGCCGCGUGAGUGAUGAAGGUCUUCGGAUCGUAAAACUCUGUUAUUAGGGAAGAACAAAUGUGUAAGUAACUAUGCACGUCUUGACGGUACCUAAUCAGAAAGCCACGGCUAACUACGUG